UUUUAUGGAGAGUUUGAUCCUGGCUCAGAGUGAACGCUGGCGGCGUGCCUAAUACAUGCAAGUCGAACGAUGAAGCUUCUAGCUUGCUAGAAUGCUGAUUAGUGGCGCACGGGUGAGUAACGCAUAGGUCAUGUGCCUCUUAGUUUGGGAUAGCCAUUGGAAACGAUGAUUAAUACCAGAUACUCCCUACGGGGGAAAGAUUUAUCGCUAAGAGAUCAGCCUAUGUCCUAUCAGCUUGUUGGUAAGGUAAUGGCUUACCAAGGCUAUGACGGGUAUCCGGCCUGAGAGGGUGAACGGACACACUGGAACUGAGACACGGUCCAGACUCCUACGGGAGGCAGCAGUAGGGAAUAUUGCUCAAUGGGGGAAACCCUGAAGCAGCAACGCCGCGUGGAGGAUGAAGGUUUUAGGAUUGUAAACUCCUUUUGUUAGAGAAGAUAAUGACGGUAUCUAACGAAUAAGCACCGGCUAACUCCGUGCCAGCAGCCGCGGUAAUACGGAGGGUGCAAGCGUUACUCGGAAUCACUGGGCGUAAAGAGCGCGUAGGCGGGAUAGUCAGUCAGGUGUGAAAUCCUAUGGCUUAACCAUAGAACUGCAUUUGAAACUACUAUUCUAGAGUGUGGGAGAGGUAGGUGGAAUUCUUGGUGUAGGGGUAAAAUCCGUAGAGAUCAAGAGGAAUACUCAUUGCGAAGGCGACCUGCUGGAACAUUACUGACGCUGAUUGCGCGAAAGCGUGGGGAGCAAACAGGAUUAGAUACCCUGGUAGUCCACGCCCUAAACGAUGGAUGCUAGUUGUUGGAGGGCUUAGUCUCUCCAGUAAUGCAGCUAACGCAUUAAGCAUCCCGCCUGGGGAGUACGGUCGCAAGAUUAAAACUCAAAGGAAUAGACGGGGACCCGCACAAGCGGUGGAGCAUGUGGUUUAAUUCGAAGAUACACGAAGAACCUUACCUAGGCUUGACAUUGAGAGAAUCCGCUAGAAAUAGUGGAGUGUCUAGCUUGCUAGACCUUGAAAACAGGUGCUGCACGGCUGUCGUCAGCUCGUGUCGUGAGAUGUUGGGUUAAGUCCCGCAACGAGCGCAACCCCCUUUCUUAGUUGCUAACAGGUCAUGCUGAGAACUCUAAGGAUACUGCCUCCGUAAGGAGGAGGAAGGUGGGGACGACGUCAAGUCAUCAUGGCCCUUACGCCUAGGGCUACACACGUGCUACAAUGGGGUGCACAAAGAGAAGCAAUACUGCGAAGUGGAGCCAAUCUUCAAAACGCCUCUCAGUUCGGAUUGUAGGCUGCAACUCGCCUGCAUGAAGCUGGAAUCGCUAGUAAUCGCAAAUCAGCCAUGUUGCGGUGAAUACGUUCCCGGGUCUUGUACUCACCGCCCGUCACACCAUGGGAGUUGUGUUUGCCUUAAGUCAGGAUGCUAAAUUGGCUACUGCCCACGGCACACACAGCGACUGGGGUGAAGUCGUAACAAGGUAACCGUAGGUGAACCUGCGGUUGGAUCACCUCCUUUCUAGA
rnacentral:rRNA from 1 species